GCUGCUUAAAGCAAAUAAUUCUGCCUGCCUGCCUCUAGCAUAUGUAAAUGCCAUUGCAAACCUACCUAUAAUUCAAAGGGAAUUAGAUUCCUAUAUUUUUACAUAAAAGUAUGACUUUAAUAGAGAACAAUUCAACUAAACUUGUUAAUAACCCUACGUGUUUAUGCUUGUCAUUAAAUAAUUAAUGAUAUUAUUAAUUACUACACAUCUCAUCCUCUUAUUAGCUCUUCUUCUUUUUAGCUUUACAUAAUACAAAGUUUUCUCACUAAAAUCUUAGGCUAUUAUUAUCUCCUUGCCUCUGGCUUCAUCAAGGAAAUGUAUUUUUGCAUGAUUUUGAGGAUCAAAAUUGAUUGCAACGGUUGCUAUAGAAAGGUGAAGCAAGCACUUCUUCAGAUUCGUGAAUUAGAGUCUCAUAUAAUAGAGAACAAAAGUAGUAGGGUGAUUGUGUUUGGAAGAUUUAUCCCUCAAGAUAUCGCAAUCAAGAUCAGAAAGAAAACAAAUCGAAGGGUGGAGAUUUUAGAGGUACAACAACUUUGUCCUACUAACACCCAGGUCUGAAAAUUAUCAAGAUCAAGGUUCUUUGAUGAUAGCUCCCACUAAUGCAAUCAAUUUGUUAUGGCUCCUCAACCUCAAUACUAGUAAAUUUCGAGGUUGCUUGGGUUGAAGAUAAUGAUAUCUAUUAUGUAUAAAUUUAUUGAUUUAUAUAGAAAUUCAUCAACUUGUAGCAUUUAAGAAAUAAGUAAAUUUGAGUGAUCCUAUUUUUUGUAUUAGCCAAUGAAAUAAUAAAUCUACUUAUUUAUGAGAGUAACCUCAUAUCCCCAUUGAAAUAGUUUCACAUAUACAAAUGGAAUAAUAUUGUGAAUUGUUAAAGGACAAACUCAACCAGCCAAAAGCUUAAGGGAGGCAUAAAAAUAUGUUUUAUACUUUACCAUGAAUAAUUUAUAUAAUAUGGUUGUUAUAUAAUUUUGAACAAAUGAUAAUAAAGUCUUACAAACAUCAAUACCUAUAUACUAAAGUAAUCCCCAACAUUGUUUCAAAGAAAAAAAACGUAAUCCCCAACAUUAUCCCCUAUUACACGUGUCACCCUCUGAGUAAAAAUUUUUCCCCCAAACUUUUUAUUUUAUUUUUUUAUUC